UGUGAUUUAAGCCAUGGUUCAUUGCUUUGCUCCAUUCUAUUAACGAUUUCUCCAUCGAAAUGACAACUCACACUGAAUCUUUACCAUUUCAAUGAUGGGAGACGAAUUCGUCUCUCUGUGGCGAUACGGUGGUUCCUGAAGCUCAAUCAUUUAACUUUAAUGGUGUAGCCGCUGAAGGAGUUCCCGAUUUAACUGAAAAAUG
rnacentral:lncRNA from 1 species